rnacentral:rRNA from 1 species
UAAAUAGAUACCCGGGUAGUCCAUGCCGUAAACGAUGAGUGCUAAGUGUUAGGGGGUUUCCGCCCCUUAGUGCUGCAGCUAACGCAUUAAGCACUCCGCCUGGGGAGUACGACCGCAAGGUUGAAACUCAAAGGAAUUGACGGGGGCCCGCACAAGCGGUGGAGCAUGUGGUUUAAUUCGAAGCAACGCGAAGAACCUUACCAGGUCUUGACAUCCCGAUGACCGCUCUAGAGAUAGAGUUUUCCCUUCGGGGACAUUGGUGACAGGUGGUGCAUGGUUGUCGUCAGCUCGUGUCGUGAGAUGUUGGGUUAAGUCCCGCAACGAGCGCAACCCUUAAUCUUAGUUGCCAUCAUUUAGUUGGGCACUCUAAGGUGACUGCCGGUGAUAAACCGGAGGAAGGUGGGGAUGACGUCAAAUCAUCAUGCCCCUUAUGACCUGGGCUACACACGUGCUACAAUGGACGGUACAAAGAGUCGCUAACUCGCGAGAGUAUGCUAAUCUCAUAAAACCGUUCUCAGUUCGGAUUGUAGGCUGCAACUCG